rnacentral:rRNA from 1 species
GGCAUGCGAGCUACACAUGCAGUCGACGGCAGCACAGAUAAGAUCUUGCUCUUAUGGGUGGUGAGUGACGGAUGGGUGAUGAAUGGGUCGCAGUCUGCCUUUUGGUGAGGGAUAACGUAAGGAGACUUACGCUAAUACCGCAGACUACCUUCCGGUGAAGGCGAGGGACCUUCCGGUCGUGCUCGGAUGUAUGAGCCUAUGUCUGAUUAGCUAGUUGGCGGGGUAAUCGCCCACCCAAGCAACCAUCCGUAGCUGGACAGAAAGGAUGAUCACCCUGACUGUGACUGACACACGGUACUCACUCCUACGGGAGGCAUGAGUGGGGAAGAUUGGAGGAUGGGCGCCUGCCUGAUCCAUCCCUACCGCGUGAGUAAAGAAUGCCUUCUGGUUGUAAAGUUCUUUUGUUGGGAAAGAAGAGCGGUCGAUUAAUACUCGGUUUGACUGACGGUACCCAAAAAAUAACCACCGGCUAACUGCGUGCCACCACCCGCGGUCAUACGAAGGGUGCGUGCGUUACUCUUAAUUACUGGGCGUAAAGCGUGCGUAGGUGGUUGUUUCAGUCGGUUGUGAAAUCGCUGGGCUCAGCCUGGUAAUUGCAAUGCAGACUGACUGACUAGAGUGUGAUAGAGGUUAAUGUAAUUCCGGGUGUAUCAGUGACAUGCAUAUAGAUCGGAAGGAACAUCGAUGGCGAAGGCAGCUGCAUGGACACUGACUGUCACUGAGGCACGAAAGCGUGGGGAGCAGAUUGAUAAUGGCCCAGGUAAAAGAGGGUGGUUG